rnacentral:rRNA from 1 species
GAUGAACGCUGGCGGCGUGCCUAGUACAUGCAAGUCGAGCGAAUGGAUUAAGAGCUUGCUCUUAUGAAGUUAGCGGCGGACGGGUGAGUAACACGUGGGUGACCUGCCCAUAAGACUGGGAUAACUCCGGGAAACCGGGGCUAAUACCGGAUAACAUUUUGAACCGCAUGGUUCGAAAUUGAAAGGCGGCUUCGGCUGUCACUUAUGGAUGGACCCGCGGCGCAUUAGCUAGUUGGUGAGGUAACGGCUGACCAAGGCAACGAUGCGUAGCCGGCCUGAGAGGGUGCUCGGCCACACUGGGACUGAGCCACGGCCCAGACUCCUACGGGAGGCAGCAGUAGGGAAUCUUCCGCAAUGGACGAAAGUCUGACGGAGCAACGCCGCGUGAGUGAUGAAGGCUUUCGGGUCGUAAAACUCUGUUGUUAGGGAAGAACAAGUGCUAGUUGAAUAAGCUGACACCUUGACGGUACCUAACCAGAAAGCCACGGCUAACUACGUGCCAGCCGCCGCAGUAA